GCUGUCGGCCGGACACUCAUAUGCAGAUUUCACACAGUAUAUGAGUUCAGUCAAAGUAAAUGGAAGCCAUGUUGUUGACAGUCUAUGAUCCAACAGCAGAAGGAUGAGGAGAACUCUAACCUUCACAUAAACAUAGUCAUCCUCCCAGUGCUGUGUGUAGGACACACUUCAACAUUCAACUCAAGAUUUGAAUCUAUGCUACACACAAUU